rnacentral:piRNA from 1 species
UAUCUAUAAUAAAAACCUCAGCCCCU